UUGCUUUUGCAGGUCACUUGAAAGAAAUAGUCUUAAACCUUUUCCUUUUCCUCCUUUAUCAUCUAAGUAUUUUCUGAAGUGCCCUUUUUGCUUCCCGUACCACUUUGCAUGCAGGCAUUUAUAGAGGCUUGAAACUCCAAUCAUGGCAGAGAUGGCUUGAAACUCCCCAACGGUUUAGAAGGUGCACUGGCUCUAUUGUAUGAUGUUAAGAAGCAACAUCAUGCGCUUCUUGGUAACAAAAAUCUGUGCAAUUUGUGCAAACCUUGAUAUCAAAAUUGUUGAGACCUCAACUUCAAGAUUCAUGUAAAUGCAAAGAAAGCCAUUAAAAUUUCUUAGAGAAACAUUCCUUUAAAUAUUCUUACUUAAUUUAUAUUAAACAUGUAUUCUCCCAAGCUUUGUUCAAAACAAACACCAGUUUUUCUAAAAUUUUGCUUUCGAAAAUCAAUUUUUACUGGUCUUCUUUGAUUUUGCAGCAGAUCUCCUUUUCCUUGCAUGGAUUUCCUCAGGAAGUCCCACAAGCACUUGUUCACUAGUAGUAUACUAUACUGAUCAUGUCAUCUUAUAAUCCUUUUGAGAGGUUUAUCCCAUUUCUAUAUCUAAAAUCCUUAUUUUUCCUUUCUAGACAUUUGUUUGCCAAACAAUUCUUAUCACCACAUAUAAAACAUUUACAUUUGCUCCUUUGA